GGGGAUGAUCGGUUUCGACAUCGUCUGCGCGACUGCGGGAAGCGGGCCGAGGAUCCGGGGUUAUCUCGUGAACGCUCCCCGGGAACAAAUAACUGCCAAUAAGAAGCAGUCCGACUUCGCCCUCGCUGCCUAAGCGAGUCCGAUAGUCCGUCGGCCCGAGCGCGAUCCCGUCUCGGUUCCCGGCGUCAUUUAGGGAUCUUGCUUCGUACCGUCGUCUGAGCGGUGCGAGGGACUUUUUCAGACUGGGCCUGUCGACUUAGGUGCCUGUGGCAAAGGUCGGGGCCGAGCAGAACGCUUGCACAGGAUGCGCCCGGAGAAGACGCAUGACCACAGCGAUGGACGGGGGUUCAAUUCCCCCCAUCUCCACCA
rnacentral:tmRNA from 1 species